AGGGCAUACGGUGGAUGCCUUGGCUCUUGGAGGCGAUGAAGGACGCGAUAAGCUGCGAAAAUCUUCGACGAGGCGCUAUAACCUUUGACUCGGAGGUGUCCGAAUGGGGCAACCCACGUGGUUGAAGACCACGUAUCCUGAAAAGGAAGCAAACCCGGCGAACUGAAACAUCUCAUUAACCGGAGGAGGAGAAAACAAAAGUGAUACCCCUAGUAGCGGCGAGCGAACAGGGCAUAGCCCAAACGCGUAAGGUUUCGGCUUUGCGCGGGUAAUAGGAUCGAAACACGACACUGCAGGUAGAUAGGCAAACGCUUUGGAAAGAGCGACCAUAGUAGGUGACAGUCCUGUAGCCGAAAUCCGAUGUAGUGUUAUUCGACACCUGAGUAGGGCGGAACACGAGGAAUUCCGUCUGAAUUAGCCGGGCCCACCCGGUAAGGCUAAAUACUCCCAAGAGACCGAUAGCGAACCAGUACUGUGAAGGAAAGGUGAAAAGCACUCCGCGAAGGAGAGUGAAAUAGUACCUGAAACCGUAUGCCUACAAGCGGUCGGAGUCCCUUUUGGGAUGACGGCGUGCCUUUUGCAUAAUGAGCCUACGAGUUAUGGUAAGUGGCGAGAUUAAGUAACGUUAGUUACGGAGUCGUAGCGAAAGCGAGUCUUAAACGGCGUAUAGUCACUUGUCAUAGACGCGAAACUUUGUGAUCUACCCAUGGCCAGGUUGAAGGCGCGGUGAAACGCGCUGGAGGACCGAACUGUUUAGCGUUGAAAAGCUCUCGGAUGAGCUGUGGGUAGGGGUGAAAGGCUAAUCAAACUGAGAGAUAGCUCGUACUCCCCGAAAUGUUUUUAGGAACAGCCUUGUGUAUUGUCGCCUUGGAGGUAGAGCGACUGGUUGGACGCGAGGGCUUCACCGCCUAUCAAGUCCUGUCAAACUCCGAAUGCCAAGUCGAGUCGCACAAGAGUGAGCCGUAGGGUGCUAAUGUCCUGCGACGAGAGGGAAAGAACCCAGACCAGCAGCUAAGGCCCCCAAGCGGGCGCUAAGUUGUUCAAACGAGGUUCGACUGCAUAGACAGCUAGGAUGUUGGCUUGGAAGCAGCCAUUCAUUCAAAGAGUGCGUAAUAGCUCACUAGUCGAGUGGUCGAGCAUGGAUAAUGAGCGGGCAUCAAGCGCCCCGCCGAAGCUCUGGAUGUAUAGUAAUAUAUGUGGUAGGGGAGCAUUCAUAACUGCGGUGAAGGUGUACCGUAAGGUAUGCUGGAGCGUUAUGAAAAGCAAAUGUAGGCAUGAGUAACGAUAAUGCGGAUGAGAAAUCCGCACACCGAUAGGCCAAGGUUUCCUGAUCGCCGUUAAUCGGAUCAGGGUUAGUCGGUCUCUAAGGCGUAGGCGAAAGCCGUAGCCGAUGACAAGCGAGUUAAUAUUCUUGCACUACUCACAAGAACGAUGGGACGACGGAGUCGUGACAAUCCUACCGAGUGACGGAAUACUCGGUCGAAGGCGGUAGAUAUACGCUGAGGUUAAUCCCUCGGAGUGUCGAUGCUGAUAGCGCCUUAAUCCGCAAGGAGCGAGGUCAAAGGAUGUAAUCAAACUCCCAAGAAAACUCCCUAAGUAUAUGUUGUGAGUAACCGUACCGUAAACCGACACAGGUGGCCAAGGAGAGGAUCCUGAGGUGCUCGAGUGAUUCACGGCUAAGGAACUAGGCAAAAUGGUCCUGUAACUUCGGAAUAAAGGACGGAGGGUGCAAGCCCUCCCGCAGAAAGUGGCUCAGGCGACUGUUUAGCAAAAACUCAUGGCUCUGCAAAAUCGAAAGAUGAGGUAUAGGGCCUGACACCUGCCCGGUGCUGGAAGGUUAAGAGGAGUUGUCAGCCGCAAGGCGAAGCAGCGAAUUGAAGCCCCAGUAAACGGCGGCCGUAACUAUAACGGUCCUAAGGUAGCGAAAUUCCUUGUCGGGUAAGUUCCGACCUGCACGAAUGGUGUAACGAUCUGAGCACUGUCUCAGCCGUGAGCUCGGUGAAAUUGAAGUAGCGGUGAAGAUGCCGCUUACCCGCAACGGGACGGAAAGACCCCGUGAACCUUUACUAUAGCUUAGCGCUGCUUUUGGACGAACGUUGCGUAGGAUAGGCCGGAGGCUUUGAUGCCGCACUUCUGGGUGUGGUUUAGCCGCCGUUGAAAUACGGCCCUACGUUCGUUUGGGAGCUAACCCUUUUCAAGGGGACACCGCUUGGUGGGUAGUUUGACUGGGGUGGUCGCCUCCAAAAGCGUAACGGAGGCUUCCCAAGGUACCCUCAGCGCGGAUGGCAAUCGCGCGUCGAGUGCAAUAGCAUAAGGGUGCUUGACUGAGAGACAGACACGUCGACCAGGUGCGAAAGCAGGGUAUAGUGAUCCGGUGAUUCCGCGUGGAAGGGUCAUCGCUCAAAGGAUAAAAGGUACUCCGGGGAUAACAGGCUGAUCGCCCCCAAGCGCUCAUAGCGACGGGGCGGUUUGGCACCUCGAUGUCGGCCCGUCACAUCCUGGGGGUGGAGAAGCUCCCAAGGGUUCGGCUGUUCGCCGAUUAAAGUGGCACGCGAGCUGGGUUCAGAACGUCGUGAGACAGUUCGGUCCCUAUCUGUUGUGGGCGUAGGAAACUUGAAGGGAGCUGAGGCUAGUACGAGAGGACCGCCUUGGACGAACCUCUGGUGUAUCUGUUGUCGCGCCAGCGGCAUCGCAGAGUAUCUAAGUUCGGUCGGGAUAAGCGCUGAAAGCAUCUAAGCGCGAAGCCCACCUUAAGAUGAGGUUUCCCCUAAGAGCCGUAGUAGACGACUACGUUGAUAGGCUAGAGGUGUAUCGAUGGUGACAUCACAGCCGACUAGUACUAAUGACUCUUGAGUCUUCUUG
rnacentral:rRNA from 1 species